AUUCCAGCUCCAAUAGCGUAUAUUAGAGUUGUUGCGGUUAAAAAGCUCGUAGUUGGAUCUCGGCGGGCAGGGGGUGGUUCGCUCUUCAGCGCUACUGCCCCGCUUUGCCCGUGUGAUUGGCGGAGGUUUCGGGGUGCUCUUCGUUGAGUGACUCGGAGCGCCGUCAGGUUUACUUUGAGAAAAUUAGAGUGUUCAAAGCAGGCCUAUGCUCUGAAUAGGUUAGCAUGGAAUAAUAGAAUAGGACUUUGGUUCUAUUUUGUUGGUUUCUAGGACCGAAGUAAUGAUUAAUAGGGACAGUUGGGGGCAUUCAUAUUCCAUUGUCAGAGGUGAAAUUCUUGGACUAACGGAAGAUGAACUUCUGCGAAAGCAUCUGCCAAGGAUGUUUUCAUUA
rnacentral:rRNA from 1 species